UACGUAGGGGGCUAGCGUUGUCCGGAUUCAUUGGGCGUAAAGCGCGUGUAGGCGGCCAGAUAGGUCCGUUGUGAAAACCCGAGGCUUAACCUCGGGACGCCGACGGAAACCAUCUGGCUAGGGUCCGGAAGAGGAGAGUGGAAUUCCCGGUGUAGCGGUGAAAUGCGCAGAUAUCGGGAAGAACACCCGUGGCGAAGGCGGCUCUCUGGGACGGUACCGACGCUGAGACGCGAAAGCGUGGGGAGCGAACAGG
rnacentral:rRNA from 1 species